GGGGAAUUUUGGACAAUGGGCGAAAGCCUGAUCCAGCAAUGCCGCGUGUGUGAAGAAGGCCUUCGGGUUGUAAAGCACUUUUGUCCGGAAAGAAAUGGCUCUGGUUAAUACCUGGGGUCGAUGACGGUACCGGAAGAAUAAGGACCGGCUAACUACGUGCCAGCAGCCGCGGUAAUACGUAGGGUCCAAGCGUUAAUCGGAAUUACUGGGCGUAAAGCGUGCGCAGGCGGUUGUGCAAGACCGAUGUGAAAUCCCCGAGCUUAACUUGGGAAUUGCAUUGGUGACUGCACGGCUAGAGUGUGUCAGAGGGGGGUAGAAUUCCACGUGUAGCAGUGAAAUGCGUAGAGAUGUGGAGGAAUACCGAUGGCGAAGGCAGCCCCCUGGGAUAACACUGACGCUCAUGCACGAAAGCGUGGGGAGCAAACA
rnacentral:rRNA from 1 species